AUUGAGUAGACUGUAGAAGGAAUGCCAACAAUCUUUAUUGUAGAUAAGAGAGAGACCACUCAGAGGCUCCUGGAGGAGUCAGAAAGAAAAGGAAACAGGCUGGCCAUGGCCAGGGCUAUCAGUAAGAGAGUGGACCCACUUAAGUGCAGCGGAGAAAAUGAAGCGACCUUCCUCCCCUGAGGCACUCCUGGAGUGACUGGACUCUGAAGACAAGAGCCUCUCAGAGUGGCAGAAGUAAGCUCUUUCCAUCUUCCGUCCUGUCAAUUAAAUUCAGCUACCUUAAUGCUAAAGCAACUCCCACACUUUAGAAUGUUCAUUUAUUUCAGAAAACAUCUGUUUUGUAGUCUAGGGAACUGUGUUUUUUGUCCUUGGGAUUAAGGGCUAAAUCUACGUUUUGAGAUUUCUUUACUAAGG
rnacentral:lncRNA from 1 species